AACAGAAAUUAUUUAUCCACCUUGGCAAACUCACCUUCCACUUUUAACUCCAAUGCUGCCUCCUCUUGGUAAGAGUGAUCUCUGAAGAAGCAGGUGAAGCCUCCUUCAUCUGAGAACCUCACCUUCUGGAUCCUGAGGGUAACCUUUCCCUCACCGAUACUAUCUUUCAGAAGCUCUGUGCGUCCCCGAUAUUCAGGUGCCUGCUCUGCAUCUUGGUCUUUGCCAUUUCGGUAGAGAUGAACCACUCUAGAGAAGGGAGGACGGUACCACCCCACCUCCAUGCCCGAGGCAUUCUUCCCAGGAGAUAUGCGGCAUGGCAGUUCUGCUUCAUCCCCAACUAAAGCCCGGAUGGGAUGCCCUGGUCCUACCACUCUGAACUGUCCUGUCCAAGACAUCAAAGAAAAGAAACCAAGAGUCAGAUGUGACAAGUUCAUCAUAGGAAACUUACUUCAAAAAAAGAAUUUUGUGUCUGUGCCGGUGUGGGUGAAUGUAUUUCACCUUUGUAUGACUGCCCUUGGAAUGGAGAAGAGGCUGUAAGGUCCUCUGGAGCUGGGAUGACAGCUGUGUUUGUCUCUGACUCUUCAGCUCUGAUUCUCGCCUCCACCUUGGAAUGUGACCUGCUCCUCCUCAGUGCUUCCCAGCCCUCUGUCCUCACAUCUCCUUCCCUGUGAAGUCACGCACUCUGGAAAAACUGCGUCACUCUCCAGCCUCGCUCCAGCUCUGGAUCCUUCUCUGAACAUCUUCCCAGUGAGAUUCAGCUCCUGGCAAGUCGUCAAGCCUAGAGGCAACAAUCAACAAACAUUCAUUGAGAUGUACUACAAACAGGCACUGCAGUAAUGUGCAAAAGACUUCCUCGCAUUUGAAACUCUGACAGCAACUCCAAGAAUUUAGUUUUUUCUCUUUUGAAAGGUGAAAACCCAAACGAAGGCUGGCGGAUAGAGCUCAGUAGGAAAGCAUGAACUGAGCUUGCACAAGGCCCCGGGUUUGAUUCCCAGCACCGUAUGAAUAGGGGAAGUACGAGUUGGAUUCCACAGGAAGUCAGGAAGGUUUCUAAGGAGGGAAACUAUGCCAGCAGACUUAAGUGCAGAUGAGAAACUCAUAUAGACAGUUGAGAAUGAUUGAAGGAGCUAAGCCCAGAAUACCCCCUUUCUGUUCUUAGGUCUGUGUAGGGCUGGAAUUAGCAUGCUUACCUGCAUAGCUGGAUGCCAGCUGGAGGAGGAGGAGCAGGGGGAGGAGGCAGCUGGACAGAGAAAAGCUCCGCAAACUGGCCAUCAUCUUCACGGUUACUGGGGACAGAGUCCCUGGCAGCAGGGUCAGGCCACGCUGAGGCCCUCAGGCUGCAUGUCUCCUACUCCAAGAAGCCUGGGAGACUCUGGGAGGGCACUACUGCCCAGGCCCUACCUCCAUCCAGGCAUUACCACAGCUGUGCCCAGAGGAAUGGCCCCACGUCACCCCUGACAGACAUUUGCACAAAAGGACUACAGAUCCAUUGAUGACCAGGGUUUGCCUCCACACCCCCCUCACAGCAUUGGAGCAGUGGCUGACUGGUACUGGGCUGUUCCCCUUUUCCCCUCCCUGGACCCAGGCUUGGGAAGGGCAUGUAGUGGGUGUUCAGUGGUAAUCAGAGGGACUUGUUUGCGGAGUUUGUAAGGCUUCUCUAAUCCCUCUUGCUACCAAGAACUCUCUGGGGGAGAGUGAUUA